rnacentral:lncRNA from 1 species
CGCAGGCAGCGCUCCCGGCGGGGCGCCCCGCUCUGCGCCGUUCCCUCCGCCGUCGCCCAGCCACCGCCUUUCGCACGCGCCGGAACCGCUUUUGUGGUCUCCGAGACACUCAUUUGCUGUCCUGGUUUCCAAAGCUCCACGUGCUCAGCGCCGAAAACUUGCAAAUCAUUUGCUGUCUAUACUGGGCGCCCGCUGCGUGCCAGGUACUGCCACCGGCUCUCUCCUCACGGUGGAAUAACUUAACAGAGAAGACAGACAUCAAUCAAAUACCCUGGAAACGUGGAAGCCCCGCGCCAGCUCCAGGCACAGCCGUUCAGGGUGAUGCCAAAGGGAAAUGAGAACGCCUGGUUUCGAGUGCCAGCCUGAGGCCCCUUAAGCCCUAGCCUGGCUCCAAAAACUGCAGCCUGUUUCCCUCAACAAAAAUGACGUCAAGAAUACCUAGAUGUGACCACACCGAACUUGCUUGCCCGUUUUGGGAAACCCAACUUUCUUCCUGAAUAGUCAGAACCUCUGGCUUUCCUGGUCUCUUAAGAACCGCAAACUAUUGAAAAGCAGAUGCGUCUUUCAGCCUCUUUAAUAAAUGCAGUAAGGAGAGUUGGGACAGAGUUACUUUCAGACUGUGGGGCUCCCCCGUGCCAAAGCAUUCAGACGAAAUGUGGGGGAUAGCGGGGGGAAGGCAGGCAAUUAUCUGAAUGUUAAACAGCUGAAUAUUUGGAAACCCCAAUCUUUGGCUGAUUUUUAAAAACCUUUUUCACACGUGUUCUCAUGUUUAA